CACGUAGGGGGCCAGCGUUGUCCGGAAUUACUGGGCGUAAAGCGCGCGCAGGCGGUCUAGUAAGCAGCGGGUGAAAUACCGAGGCUCAACUUCGGUGCUGCUUGCUGAACUGCUAGACUAGAGUUCGGGAGAGGGCAGUGGAAUUCCUGGUGUAGCGGUGGAAUGCGUAAAUAUCAGGAAGAACACCCGUGGCGAAGGCUGCUGCCUGGAACGAUACUGACGCUGAGGCGCGAAAGCUAGGGGAGCGAACGGG
rnacentral:rRNA from 1 species